CCCGGAUCCUGGGCGCAGCCUGAUCCAGCCAUACCGCGUGGGUGAAGAAGGCCUUCGGGUUGUAAAGCCCUUUUGUUGGGAAAGAAAUCCAGCCGGCUAAUACCUGGUUGGGAUGACGGUACCCAAAGAAUAAGCACCGGCUAACUUCGUGCCAGCAGCCGCGGUAAUACGAAGGGUGCAAGCGUUACUCGGAAUUACUGGGCGUAAAGCGUGCGUAGGUGGUCGUUUAAGUCCGUUGUGAAAGCCCUGGGCUCAACCUGGGAACUGCAGUGGAUACUGGGCGACUAGAGUGUGGUAGAGGGUAGCGGAAUUCCUGGUGUAGCAGUGAAAUGCGUAGAGAUCAGGAGGAACAUCCAUGGCGAAGGCAGCUACCUGGACCAACACUGACACUGAGGCACGAAAGCGUGGGGAGCAAACAGGAUUAGAUACCCUGGUAGUCCACGCCCUAAACGAUGCGAACUGGAUGUUGGGUGCAAUUUGGCACGCAGUAUCGAAGCUAACGCGUUAAGUUCGCCGCCUGGGGAGUACGGUCGCAAGACUGAAACUCAAAGGAAUUUGACGGA
rnacentral:rRNA from 1 species